UUCUGGUGUAACAGACUCCCUGCAUUCUGUCUCCCUGACCUCUGCAAUCUUACUGGGAAGAGAUAGGGUAGAGCUGAAAGUCUAGGGGCAAAACCAUGUUAUAAAGGAUCCAAAAGCUGAGGUAAUAUUUGAUACUUCUUUAAGAAAAGGAAUGCAAAAUCAUGAAGAAGUGGAAAAAAAAGUCACAAUUUUAAAAAGGUGACAAAAUCACAAUAACCAGACAACUUAGAAAGAUAUAUUGCCUGGAGUUGGAACUAUCUUCACAUCAAGAGAAUUAUAGAGACAUUGGCUUUGACAUCACAGGUCUACUAAAACAAUGCUGUCAGCUACCGGACCACUGCCAGACCUGUUCUCCUCCAAUGAUGAGACUUCAGUUAAUUCAGGUAAAAAUUUCAAAUUUUCUAAUUGUUUUUCCAU